GUGCACGCUGGCGGUAGGCCUAACACCUGCAAGUCGCACGGCAGCACAGUAAGAGCUUGCUCUUACGGGUGGCGAGUGGCGGACGGGUGAGGAAUACAUCGGAAUCUACUUUUUCGUGGGGGAUAACGUAGGGAAACUUACGCUAAUACCGCAUACGACCUACGGGUGAAAGCAGGGGAUCUUCGGACCUUGCGCGAUUGAAUGAGCCGAUGUCGGAUUAGCUAGUUGGCGGGGUAAAGGCCCACCAAGGCGACGAUCCGUAGCUGGUCUGAGAGGAUGAUCAGCCACACUGGAACUGAGACACGGUCCAGACUCCUACGGGAGGCAGCAGUGGGGAAUAUUGGACAAUGGGCGCAAGCCUGAUCCAGCCAUACCGCGUGGGUGAAGAAGGCCUUCGGGUUGUAAAGCCCUUCUGUUGGGAAAGAAAAGCAGCAGGUUAAUACCCCGCUGUUCUGACGGUACCCAAAGAAUAAGCACCGGCUAACUUCGUG
rnacentral:rRNA from 1 species